GAUGAACGCUGGCGGCGUGCCUAACACAUGCAAGUCGAGCGAGAUAAAUGUGAGUGGAGACUUCGGUCAAAGCAAUCAUUUUGAAAGCGGCGGACGGGUGAGUAACGCGUGAGCAAUAUGCCCCAUACAAAGGGAUACCCACUGGAAACGGUGAUUAAUACCUUAUAAGACCACGAAGUCGCCUGGCCUAGUGGCCAAAGCUUUAUCGGGAUGGGAUUAGCCGGCGUCUGAUUAGGUAGUUGGUGAGGUAAUGGCUUACCAAGGCGACGAUCAGUAGCCGAACCGAGGGGGUGAACGGCAACACUGGAACUGAGACACGGUCCAGACACCUACGGGAGGCAGCAGUGGGGAAUAUUGCACAAUGGGCGCAAGCCUGAUGCAGCAACGCCGCGUGAAAGAUGAAGGCCUUCGGGUCGUAAAGUUCUGUCCUAAGGGAAGAAUACAGAGACGGUACCUUAGGAGGAAGCCCCGGCUAACUACGUGCCAGCAGCCGCCGCCG
rnacentral:rRNA from 1 species